AGUGAACGCUGGCGGUAGGCCUAACACAUGCAAGUCGAACGACAGCACAGUAAGAGCUUGCUCUUACGGGUGGCGAGUGGCGGACGGGUGAGGCAAACAUCGGCAUCUACUUUUUCGUGGGGGAUAACGUAGGGAUACUUACGCUAAUACCGCAUACGACCUACGGGUGAAAGCAGGGGAUCUUCGGGCUUUGCGCGGUUGAAUGUACCGAUGUCGGAUUAGCUAGUUGGCGGGGUAAAGGCCCACCAAGGCGACGAUCCGUAGCUGGUCUGAGAGGACGAUCAGCCACACUGGAACUGAGACGCGGCCCAGACUCCUACGGGAGGCAGCAGAGGGGAAUGUUGGACAAUGGGCGCAAGCCGGAUCCAGCCAUACCGCGUGGGGGAAGAAGGCCUUCGGGUAUUAAAUCCCUUUUGUUGGGAAAGAAAAGCAGCAGGUUAAUACCGCGCUGUUCUGACGGUACCCAAAGAAUAAGCACCGGCUAACUUCGUG
rnacentral:rRNA from 1 species